rnacentral:rRNA from 1 species
CUCGUAGGCGGCUCAGCAAGUCGGUCGUGAAAACCCGGGGCUCAACCCCGGGAGGCCGGUCGAUACUGCUGUGGCUAGGGUCCGGUAGAGGAGAGUGGAAUUCCCGGUGUAGCGGUGGAAUGCGCAGAUAUCGGGAGGAACACCAGUAGCGAAGGCGGCUCUCUGGGCCGGCACCGACGCUGAGGAGCGAAAGCUAGGGGAGCAAACAGGAUUAGAUACCCUGGUAGUCCUAGCCGUAAACGUUGGGCACUAGGUGUGGCGGUCUGACCAACGACUGCCGUGCCGUAGCUAACGCAUUAAGUGCCCCGCCUGGGGAGUACGGUCGCAAGGCUAAA